AUCGCUUCUCGGCCUUUUGGCUAAGAUCAAGUGUAAAAAUUAUUAAACCAAUUUUUAGUUUUAUAUUAUAU
ensembl:snRNA U2 U2 spliceosomal RNA